UACGUAGGGUGCAAGCGUUGUCCGGAAUUAUUGGGCGUAAAGAGCUCGUAGGCGGUUUGUCGCGUCGAAUGUGAAAACCCGGGGCUCAACCCCGGGCCUGCAUUCGAUACGGGCAGACUAGAGUUCGGUAGGGGAGUCUGGAAUUCCUGGUGUAGCGGUGAAGUGCGCAGAUAUCAGGAGGAACACCGGUGGCGAAGGCGGGACUCUGGGCCGAUACUGACGCUGAGGAGCGAAAGCGUGGGGAGCAAACAGG
rnacentral:rRNA from 1 species